rnacentral:rRNA from 1 species
GCCCGGAGAUAGCUGGUUCUCCCCGAAAUAGCUUUAGGGCUAGCCUCAAGGUGAGAGAUACGGAGGUAGAGCACUGAAUGUCCUAGGGGGUAUUGCACCUACCGAAGACUAUCAAACUCCGAAUGCCGUCAUCUUAUACUUGGGAGUCAGACUGUGGUUGAUAAGAUUCAUAGUCGACAGGGCUACAGCCCAGAUCGUCAGCUAAGGUCCCUAAAUGUAAGUUAAGUGGUAAAGGAUGUGGGAUUGCACAGACAACCAGGAUGUUGGCUUAGAAGCAGCCACUCAUUCAAAGAGUGCGUAAUAGCUCACUGGUCGAGUGAUCCUGCGCCGAAGAUUUCCGGGGCUAAAACUUACUACCGAAGCUACGGCAUCAUUAUGAUGGGUAGGGGAGCUUCCCAUACGGGUUGAAGCAUGACCGUAAGGACAUGUGGACAGGAUGGGAGUGAGAAUGUUGGCAUGAGUAGCGAGAUGUGGGUGAGAAUCCCACAGGCCGUAAACCCAAGGUUUCCAGGGGAAGGUUCGUCCGCCCUGGGUUAGUCGGGACCUAAGCUGAGGCCGAAAGGCGUAGGUGAUGGACAACAGGUUGAUAUUCCUGUACUACCGAUAACCGUUUGAGAGAAGGGAUGACACAGUAGGAUAAGCUAAGCACACUGUUG